GACGAACGCUGGCGGCGUGCUUAACACAUGCAAGUCGAACGAUGAAGCCGGAGCAUGCUCUGGUGAAUUAGUGGCGAACGGGUGAGUAACACGUGAGUAACCGGCCCUUGACUCUGGGAUCACUGCGGGAAACUGUAGCUAAUACCGGAUACGACCAUCGGAGCAAUCUCCUGGGGGUGGAAAGAAUUUCGGUCAAGGAUGGACUCGCGGCCUAUCAGCUAGUUGGUGAGGUAAAGGCUCACCAAGGCGACGACGGGUAGCCGGCCUGAGAGGGUGACCGGCCACACUGGGACUGAGACACGGCCCAGACUCCUACGGGAGGCAGCAGUGGGGAAUUUUGGACAAUGGGGGCAACCCUGAUCCAGCAAUGCCGCGUGAGUGAAGAAGGCCUUCGGGUUGUAAAGCUCUUUUGUCAGGGAAGAAACAGCAGCUCUAACACAGUCUGCGAAUGACGGUACCUGAAGAAUAAGCACCGGCUAAC
rnacentral:rRNA from 1 species